CACGUAGGGGGCGAGCGUUGUCCGGAUUUAUUGGGCGUAAAGAGCUCGUAGGCGGUUUCGUAAGUCGGAUGUGAAAACUCCAGGCUCAACUUGGAGACGCCAUUCGAUACUGCGAUGACUUGAGUCCGGUAGGGGAGUGUGGAAUUCCUGGUGUAGCGGUGAAAUGCGCAGAUAUCAGGAGGAACACCGGCGGCGAAGGCGGGUCUCUGGGCCAUUACUGACGCUGAGGAGCGAAAGCGUGGGGAGCGAACAGG
rnacentral:rRNA from 1 species